GGUUAAGCGACUAAGCGUACACGGUGGAUGCCCUGGCAGUCAGAGGCGAUGAAGGACGUGCUAAUCUGCGAUAAGCGUCGGUAAGGUGAUAUGAACCGUUAUAACCGGCGAUUUCCGAAUGGGGAAACCCAGUGUGUUUCGACACACUAUCAUUAACUGAAUCCAUAGGUUAAUGAGGCGAACCGGGGGAACUGAAACAUCUAAGUACCCCGAGGAAAAGAAAUCAACCGAGAUUCCCCCAGUAGCGGCGAGCGAACGGGGAGCAGCCCAGAGCCUGAAUCAGUGUGUGUGUUAGUAGAAGCGUCUGGAAAGGCGCGCGAUACAGGGUGACAGCCCCGUACACAAAAAUGCACAUGCUGUGAGCUCGAUGAGUAGGGCGGGACACGUGGUAUCCUGUCUGAAUAUGGGGGGACCAUCCUCCAAGGCUAAAUACUCCUGACUGACCGAUAGUGAACCAGUACCGUGAGGGAAAGGCGAAAAGAACCCCGGCGAGGGGAGUGAAAAAGAACCUGAAACCGUGUACGUACAAGCAGUGGGAGCACGCUUAGGCGUGUGACUGCGUACCUUUUGUAUAAUGGGUCAGCGACUUAUAUUCUGUAGCAAGGUUAACCGAAUAGGGGAGCCGAAGGGAAACCGAGUCUUAACUGGGCGUUAAGUUGCAGGGUAUAGACCCGAAACCCGGUGAUCUAGCCAUGGGCAGGUUGAAGGUUGGGUAACACUAACUGGAGGACCGAACCGACUAAUGUUGAAAAAUUAGCGGAUGACUUGUGGCUGGGGGUGAAAGGCCAAUCAAACCGGGAGAUAGCUGGUUCUCCCCGAAAGCUAUUUAGGUAGCGCCUCGUGAAUUCAUCUCCGGGGGUAGAGCACUGUUUCGGCAAGGGGGUCAUCCCGACUUACCAACCCGAUGCAAACUGCGAAUACCGGAGAAUGUUAUCACGGGAGACACACGGCGGGUGCUAACGUCCGUCGUGAAGAGGGAAACAACCCAGACCGCCAGCUAAGGUCCCAAAGUCAUGGUUAAGUGGGAAACGAUGUGGGAAGGCCCAGACAGCCAGGAUGUUGGCUUAGAAGCAGCCAUCAUUUAAAGAAAGCGUAAUAGCUCACUGGUCGAGUCGGCCUGCGCGGAAGAUGUAACGGGGCUAAACCAUGCACCGAAGCUGCGGCAGCGACGCUGAUGCGUUGUUGGGUAGGGGAGCGUUCUGUAAGCCUGCGAAGGUGUGCUGUGAGGCAUGCUGGAGGUAUCAGAAGUGCGAAUGCUGACAUAAGUAACGAUAAAGCGGGUGAAAAGCCCGCUCGCCGGAAGACCAAGGGUUCCUGUCCAACGUUAAUCGGGGCAGGGUGAGUCGACCCCUAAGGCGAGGCCGAAAGGCGUAGUCGAUGGGAAACAGGUUAAUAUUCCUGUACUUGGUGUUACUGCGAAGGGGGGACGGAGAAGGCUAUGUUGGCCGGGCGACGGUUGUCCCGGUUUAAGCGUGUAGGCUGGUUUUCCAGGCAAAUCCGGAAAAUCAAGGCUGAGGCGUGAUGACGAGGCACUACGGUGCUGAAGCAACAAAUGCCCUGCUUCCAGGAAAAGCCUCUAAGCAUCAGGUAACAUCAAAUCGUACCCCAAACCGACACAGGUGGUCAGGUAGAGAAUACCAAGGCGCUUGAGAGAACUCGGGUGAAGGAACUAGGCAAAAUGGUGCCGUAACUUCGGGAGAAGGCACGCUGAUAUGUAGGUGAGGUCCCUCGCGGAUGGAGCUGAAAUCAGUCGAAGAUACCAGCUGGCUGCAACUGUUUAUUAAAAACACAGCACUGUGCAAACACGAAAGUGGACGUAUACGGUGUGACGCCUGCCCGGUGCCGGAAGGUUAAUUGAUGGGGUUAGCGCAAGCGAAGCUCUUGAUCGAAGCCCCGGUAAACGGCGGCCGUAACUAUAACGGUCCUAAGGUAGCGAAAUUCCUUGUCGGGUAAGUUCCGACCUGCACGAAUGGCGUAAUGAUGGCCAGGCUGUCUCCACCCGAGACUCAGUGAAAUUGAACUCGCUGUGAAGAUGCAGUGUACCCGCGGCAAGACGGAAAGACCCCGUGAACCUUUACUAUAGCUUGACACUGAACAUUGAGCCUUGAUGUGUAGGAUAGGUGGGAGGCUUAGAAGUGUGGACGCCAGUCUGCAUGGAGCCGACCUUGAAAUACCACCCUUUAAUGUUUGAUGUUCUAACGUUGACCCGUAAUCCGGGUUGCGGACAGUGUCUGGUGGGUAGUUUGACUGGGGCGGUCUCCUCCUAAAGAGUAACGGAGGAGCACGAAGGUUGGCUAAUCCUGGUCGGACAUCAGGAGGUUAGUGCAAUGGCAUAAGCCAGCUUGACUGCGAGCGUGACGGCGCGAGCAGGUGCGAAAGCAGGUCAUAGUGAUCCGGUGGUUCUGAAUGGAAGGGCCAUCGCUCAACGGAUAAAAGGUACUCCGGGGAUAACAGGCUGAUACCGCCCAAGAGUUCAUAUCGACGGCGGUGUUUGGCACCUCGAUGUCGGCUCAUCACAUCCUGGGGCUGAAGUAGGUCCCAAGGGUAUGGCUGUUCGCCAUUUAAAGUGGUACGCGAGCUGGGUUUAGAACGUCGUGAGACAGUUCGGUCCCUAUCUGCCGUGGGCGCUGGAGAACUGAGGGGGGCUGCUCCUAGUACGAGAGGACCGGAGUGGACGCAUCACUGGUGUUCGGGUUGUCAUGCCAAUGGCACUGCCCGGUAGCUAAAUGCGGAAGAGAUAAGUGCUGAAAGCAUCUAAGCACGAAACUUGCCCCGAGAUGAGUUCUCCCUGACCCUUUAAGGGUCCUGAAGGAACGUUGAAGACGACGACGUUGAUAGGCCGGGUGUGUAAGCGCAGCGAUGCGUUGAGCUAACCGGUACUAAUGAACCGUGAGGCUUAACCUU
rnacentral:rRNA from 1 species